UAUCCCCUGUCUCUCGUCGCUCUCGUCCCUUCUUUUCCUCUCGAUGGCUCCUAGAUCCAUCCGGCGUCGAAGCCCUCGUCCCAAACCUGAGCGUCGGCGCCUCCACUUCUCUCCUCAUCAUUUCCUCACGCACGGGUCCCGGCGCCCACCGGCCCACGUCGAGCGUUUGCAGCGCCGCCGCUGCGGAUCCUGCACCUGCGGGUGGUGGAGCAGGCCGACCAGGCCGUGGAGGUAGGAGGAGGCCUUGGGGAAUGCGGACGGUGAGGGCGGCCAGCCGUCUUGCGGAACCACACUGCUAACUCCCAUCUCUUGCCGCUUGCAAGGCGGACCAUGGAUGCGGCGAUGUGCAUCUGCUGAACGAACCAUCUGUCCGGCCACCUCCGUACGAGGCCUGCAGAAGAAGAGCACGAAGAACAUCCCUCUUCCUUUACAUCUACAAACGAAUUUACAAGUGAAUGAUCCAUGGAGUUCAGGCGACAACAACAGCUGGCUCCGUACAGCCUAAAGUGUGACAUGGAACUGCUUAACAACAUGUAUAAACUUCUGAAGCAAAAGCACUUUACUGAAAGAGCCAAAGUAUGCUUAUUAAUUUAUUGUCCGCCUCACAAGUGGUUGUAUUUAGGUUACUUUCUUUGCCCUUAGUUUCAGCAUUGACUUAUUGUUUGCAUAUGUGAACAUAUUUCCAUUGUUCUUUGCCCUUAGUUUCAGCAUUGACUUAUUGUUUGCAUAUGUGAACAUAUUUCCAUUGUUCUUUUCGACAACAUGUAGGUUUAUUGAUAUGCCUCGUAUGCAAGCUCCUGACCCACUGCAGAAGUGAAUGUCAAUUUUCCUGUAUGAAAAAUUGCUCUUGUGCGGCAUAUGCCCAUUUGCUAUUUGAUGGUUGCAGCUUAAGGCAUGCUAUCAGACACGCAAGAUGGAGCUAAAACUGUUCGUCUUUGCGCAGCUGCAUCAGAAUUACAAUAUAGCAGUAUCUUAGAUAACAAACAUAUUGCAUGGUAAACAAUUAAUGCCACUGGGCCAGACAGUAUGUGAAGAUUGGGUGAUUCCAAGAAGACAAAAAGCAUCACUGAUAGUUUAUUAAAUCUCAAGUGUCAUGCUCUUUCUUUUUUGCAGGUCACAAAAUGCUUUGGAUAGCAUAUGUAUUUCUGUCAGUUGCAUUUCAUGUCUUUCGUCUCGUCUAUUUUAUUUGGAUUAGGAGAUGGAAAAUAAAGAUGUAAUGGAACUUUGGCAGAGCGAAGACACAUACUCUCACUUUAUGAUGCUUUCCAUUUCACAGAUAGAAAAUGCCACAGAUAAUUUCUCAACUGAAAAGAAGCUUGGAGGAAGGUUUGCCCCUAUGUACAAGACUAAUUGUGUUCUUUAGUUUUGUUUGUUACUAUGUUUUCUAGAAUGUCAAGGCGGAAGGGUGCUGAUUAUUAUAAUUCAUGGUUUAAUUGUUCGGACUUGAGCUUCGGGGGGUAGGGGGUGGGGGGCAUGUUCUUCAUAUUACUUUCUGUUAGAUUGUUGUUUGGUUGUCCAUAUAGAACUACCGAUGCAAAAGGAGAGGUGCAAAUUUGGAGAUUGACCAAUGAUAUGUUAUUUAAUUUGUGUUUAUUUACAAGAACUCUACUUGAUUGUUGCAGAUAAAUUGUGAGAAGAUGAUGCUUUUAAGAUAUGAUCUGCAUUUGCAACUAGUGUCUUGUUCUAAAAAUGUCUCCAAUCAUCCUUAGUUAAUGUCAUGAGCACAGCUCCAGUCAUGUUAAUGUCAUGAGCACAGCUCCAGUCAUGUUACUUUCCUUGUGGACUAAACUUUGCUCAGCUAAUGUUAUUUUAUUUGUUGGGUACUUUUACAUGGCACAUUUUUUUAUAAUGAUAUGAGCAUGUGGAUAUUGCAAAUAGAGAGGGGGCUCAUUUGUUCAUGGAACUUGGGGAGAUACGAUCUUUGAUAUAUGAGCGUUUUAUUUUUUUUUCAUUUUCUUGUCCUGUACCAUUUGAAACUACAUUCUUCAGCGCCACAUUUCGUCUAUAUAGAAAGUCAGUAUUUUCUUGGUUCUUCGUAUGAGUGGCCAUGCUAUGUGAUAGUCCUAAUUUUACUUUUUAGA